ACUCCUACGGGAGGCAGCAGUGGGGAAUAUUGGACAAUGGGCGCAAGCCUGAUCCAGCCAUGCCGCGUGAGUGAUGAAGGCCCUAGGGUUGUAAAGCUCUUUCACCGGAGAAGAUAAUGACGGUAUCCGGAGAAGAAGCCCCGGCUAACUUCGUGCCAGCAGCCGCGGUAAUACGAAGGGGGCUAGCGUUGUUCGGAAUUACUGGGCGUAAAGCGCACGUAGGCGGAUCGAUCAGUCAGGGGUGAAAUCCCAGGGCUCAACCCUGGAACUGCCUUUGAUACUGUCGAUCUGGAGUAUGGAAGAGGUGAGUGGAAUUCCGAGUGUAGAGGUGAAAUUCGUAGAUAUUCGGAGGAACACCAGUGGCGAAGGCGGCUCACUGGUCCAUUACUGACGCUGAGGUGCGAAAGCGUGGGGAGCAAACAGGAUUAGAAACCCGAGUAGUCC
rnacentral:rRNA from 1 species